UACGUAGGGGGCAAGCGUUGUCCGGAAUCAUUGGGCGUAAAGAGCGUGUAGGCGGCCCGAUAAGUCCGCCGUGAAAGUCCAGGGCUCAACCCUGGAAUGCCGGUGGAAACUGUCGGGCUGGAGUCCGGAAGAGGCGAGUGGAAUUCCUGGUGUAGCGGUGAAAUGCGCAGAUAUCAGGAGGAACACCAAUUGCGAAGGCAGCUCGCUGGGACGUUACUGACGCUGAGACGCGAAAGCGUGGGGAGCAAACAGG
rnacentral:rRNA from 1 species